rnacentral:rRNA from 1 species
AUGUUAGGUCUCCUUAGUUCCAAAUAUGGUUUUACAGGUUCUAAAAUUAUUUCUUUGAUGCGAGGUGCCAUGCUGUGGAUAACAAGGAGAUUAUCAAGGCGGAGCGGCGGUGAGUAUGGAGCUCAUAAUCAUCAGUUCAUCACCAUGAAGCAGAAGGAAUGGUAUAGCUUUGCCAUGCUGGACUUUGGCAGCCGCUGCUCCUCGGCAAUCAACAGGAGGUACAGCCGCUGCCACCACUCCUUCGCAGCGACGCAGGCCAGCGACGAGGAGGCUCGCAAUGGUGGGGGACACAUCACCAUCUUCCAGAGAGGAGAAAGGCAUACCUACCCCUUAACGAUUGAAAUGCAGGUCCAGGGAAAACAUCUGGUCCUCACAUCACAACACCCGGGCAAGUCUGGCAAGGCUUGCUCGCCAUGGCCUACCACAUCGGCGAGACGGAUCGAGCACGUGAUCACCAUCAGCAGGUCUUUCGUCACAACACCCGAGCUAGCGAGAUGUUCAGACAAAGUUAUAUGA